rnacentral:tRNA from 1 species
AGCUAGUGUGCCAUAGUGGUGUGAGUGUUGGACUGUGACUCUGGAGACCAGAGUUCGAUUCCCAGCUUGGCCA